rnacentral:snRNA from 1 species
GGAUGUGAGGGAGAUCUGGCUGCAACAUCUGUCACCCACUGAUUGCCAGGGUUGAUUUCACUGAUCUGGCUGGCUAGGUGGGGUCCCCUUCCUCGCUCAGCAUUCCACAGGUGUCCCUCCCAAAGACACACACUCAAUCGAACCGCACGACAUUCUUGGACAGAGGAGGACUGUGCUCCCCUGAUAGAACUUCCAAACAAGUUCUCAAUAGCUGCUUGUGUAAAGGAAUGCAUGCGUUUUAGAAGAAUGACACUGGAGGAAGGAACGGAGUGGGAAGAGGCUGGUGAGGGUUCAUUUCC